CUUUAGGUAGUUUUUAAGAAAACUUCCAAGAGCAGAGAGAAUUCGUGUACGCACAGCACGAAGGUACGAUGCGCACUGCGAAUUUUUCAUUAAUUUCAUUUAAACUCUUCGAUUUUUGUUGAAGGUGGCUUCUAGAAACAAACCAAGAUAUUUUCAUUAAGGAGAUAUUCUUCAAGAAUGAGAGGUAACGCGCCACACCAGCUCCAAACGGAUUGUUUGUGGGCAAAACUGCAAUGUGUGCAAUUUUCCAAACAGUUUUGUAUGCAGAUCUAUGUCUUGUUCAAGUUUGAAGUUAUAAAAACUAAUCAUUAGUUUUUAAUAAUCUAGUACCAUUCUGAACGAUUGGUUCUUAAAAUUCACUGUUUUGUGUUUGAUAAUGGAAAAUGUGUUUAAAAUUGUAAUGGCACAUAUUUGACAGCAAUAUAGCUCAGAUUAAGGAUACAUAUAUUGAAAACAUUUGAGUCCUCGACAGCUGCCGAAUAGUUUAUUUAGUAGCAAAAUAGAAUAUGUGAGCUUUGUUCCAGGAUUCCAUUAAAAAUUCGGAAUUCUUUGAAAACUAUGUGCGAAUGCUUUCCAGAAUAUAAUGAAAACUUGCCUAAAGAAAAUGAAAGAUUUAUGUACCAGUGCUUCUCUGGAAGAUUCUUGUGUAUUCUUUACAGAAGAAGUAAAAUGUAGAAAAACGAGAGAACCAUUUGAAAGUCAUCAAACUUAAAGUUUAGCUUUCAAAUGUACAAAAGGUACUAUCACAGACAAACAGACGUAACUGCUAGAACAAUUAUCAAUUCAAAACAUAG